rnacentral:misc_RNA from 1 species
GAUGAAGAACGUAGCGAAAUGCGAUAAGUAGUGUGAAUUGCAGAAUUCAGUGAAUCAUCGAAUCUUUGAACGCACAUUGCGCCCCUUGGUACUCCAUGGGGCAUGCCUGUUCGAGCGUCAUUUACACCCUCAAGCUCAGCUUGGUGUUGGGCGUCUGUCCCGCUUCGUGCGCGGACUCGCCUCAAAUGCAUUGGCAGCGGUCUUGCCAGCUUCUCGCGCAGCACAUUGCGCUUCUAGAGGCUUUGGCGGAUCGGCGUCCAUCAAGUACACCCACAGUUUGACCUCGGAUCAGGUAGGGAUACCCGCUGAACUCAAGCAUAUCAAUAAGCGGAGGA